AUUAUUUAUUAGAAAAUUAAUUAUAAUGUAACUGAAAGAACACUCCUGCCAAAUAUACUGCUAGCUGAUCUGACUACAUCCAAACAAUAAUGAUUUUUGUAAAGGACAGCCAAGUUGCAGUUGAACAAAUGUGGUCAGGAAAAACAUUAGUUGCAGCUGCCCAUGACGAACCAAGGAUCUAGUGGAGAGAGCAAGAUACCCAAUGGUACUAGAACUCCAGAUGUCUGAUAAGGCUAGG